CCUACGGGAGGCAGCAGUGGGGAAUUUUGGACAAUGGGCGAAAGCCUGAUCCAGCAAUGCCGCGUGCAGGAAGAAGGCCUUCGGGUUGUAAACUGCUUUUGUACGGAACGAAACGGUCUGCUUUAAUACAGUGGGCUAAUGACGGUGCCGUAAGAAUAAGCACCGGCUAACUACGUGCCAGCAGCCGCGGUAAUACGUAGGGUGCGAGCGUUAAUCGGAAUUACUGGGCGUAAAGCGUGCGCAGGCGGUUAUAUAAGACAGUCGUGAAAUCCCCGGGCUCAACCUGGGAAUUGCAUCUGUGACUGUAUAGCUAGAGUACGGUAGAGGGGGAUGGAAUUCCGCGUGUAGCAGUGAAAUGCGUAGAUAUGCGGAGGAACACCGAUGGCGAAGGCAAUCCCCUGGACCUGUACUGACGCUCAUGCACGAAAGCGUGGGGAGCAAACAGGAUUAGAUACCCUGGUAGUCCACGCCCUAAACGAUGUCAACUGGUUNUUGGGUGCAUUAGUACUCAGUAACGAAGCUAACGCGUGAAGUUGACCGCCUGGGGAUACGGCCGCAAGGUUGAAACUCAAAGGAAUUGACCGGNNGAGAGNGCGACGACGACGACGAGGGAGGAGG
rnacentral:rRNA from 1 species